rnacentral:rRNA from 1 species
AGAGUUUGAUCAUGGCUCAGAUUGAACGCUGGCGGCAGGCCUAACACAUGCAAGUCGAGCGGUAGCACAGAGAGCUUGCUCUCGGGUGACGAGCGGCGGACGGGUGAGUAAUGUCUGGGAAACUGCCUGAUGGAGGGGGAUAACUACUGGAAACGGUAGCUAAUACCGCAUAAUGUCGCAAGACCAAAGUGGGGGACCUUCGGGCCUCAUGCCAUCAGAUGUGCCCAGAUGGGAUUAGCUAGUAGGUGGGGUAANNNNNNNNNNNNNUAAGGUUAAUAACCUUGGCGAUUGACGUUACCCGCAGAAGAAGCACCGGCUAACUCCGUGCCAGCAGCCGCGGUAAUACGGAGGGUGCAAGCGUUAAUCGGAAUUACUGGGCGUAAAGCGCACGCAGGCGGUCUGUCAAGUCGGAUGUGAAAUCCCCGGGCUCAACCUGGGAACUGCAUUCGAAACUGGCAGGCUAGAGUCUUGUAGAGGGGGGUAGAAUUCCAGGUGUAGCGGUGAAAUGCGUAGAGAUCUGGAGGAAUACCGGUGGCGAAGGCGGCCCCCUGGACAAAGACUGACGCUCAGGUGCGAAAGCGUGGGGAGCAAACAGGAUUAGAUACCCUGGUAGUCCACGCCGUAAACGAUGUCGAUUUGGAGGUUGUGCCCUUGAGGCGUGGCUUCCGGAGCUAACGCGUUAAAUCGACCGCCUGGGGAGUACGGCCGCAAGGUUAAAACUCAAAUGAAUUGACGGGGGCCCGCACAAGCGGUGGAGCAUGUGGUUUAAUUCGAUGCAACGCGAAGAACCUUACCUGGUCUUGACAUCCACAGAACUUUCCAGAGAUGGAUUGGUGCCUUCGGGAACUGUGAGACAGGUGCUGCAUGGCUGUCGUCAGCUCGUGUUGUGAAAUGUUGGGUUAAGUCCCGCAACGAGCGCAACCCUUAUCCUUUGUUGCCAGCGGUUAGGCCGGGAACUCAAAGGAGACUGCCAGUGAUAAACUGGAGGAAGGUGGGGAUGACGUCAAGUCAUCAUGGCCCUUACGACCAGGGCUACACACGUGCUACAAUGGCAUAUACAAAGAGAAGCGACCUCGCGAGAGCAAGCGGACCUCAUAAAGUAUGUCGUAGUCCGGAUUGGAGUCUGCAACUCGACUCCAUGAAGUCGGAAUCGCUAGUAAUCGUAGAUCAGAAUGCUACGGUGAAUACGUUCCCGGGCCUUGUACACACCGCCCGUCACACCAUGGGAGUGGGUUGCAAAAGAAGUAGGUAGCUUAACCUUCGGGAGGGCGCUUACCACUUUGUGAUUCAUGACUGGGGUGAAGUCGUAACAAGGUAACCGUAGGGGAACCUGCGGUUGGAUCACCU